rnacentral:rRNA from 1 species
GUUGAACGCUGGCGGAAUGCUUUACACAUGCAAGUCGAGCGGCAGCGCGGGGCAACCUGGCGGCGAGCGGCGAACGGGUGAGUAAUGCAUCGGAACGUACCCCGUCGUGGGGGAUAACUACCCGAAAGGGUAGCUAAUACCGCAUACGACCUGAGGGUGAAAGCGGGGGACCGAAAGGCCUCGCGCGAUGGGAGCGGCCGAUGCCGGAUUAGCUAGUUGGUAGGGUAAAGGCCUACCAAGGCGACGAUCCGUAGCUGGUCUGAGAGGACGACCAGCCACACUGGAACUGAGACACGGUCCAGACUCCUACGGGAGGCAGCAGUGGGGAAUUUUGGACAAUGGGCGCAAGCCUGAUCCAGCCAUGCCGCGUGAGUGAAGAAGGCCUUCGGGUUGUAAAGCUCUUUCGGCCGGGAAGAAAUCGCACAGGUUAAUACCCUGUGUGGAUGACGGUACCGGAAUAAGAAGCACCGGCUAACUACGUGCCAGCAGCCGGGCAAAGUCGAUAUCG